rnacentral:tRNA from 2 species
GCCCCCAUAGCUCAAUGGUAGAGCAGCUGCCUUUUAAGCAGUUGAUCUUGGUUCGAUUCCAAGUGGGGGCACCA